rnacentral:rRNA from 1 species
UACAGAGGGGGCAAGCGUUGUUCGGAAUUACUGGGCGUAAAGGGCGCGUAGGCGGCCUUCUAAGUCGAACGUGAAAUCCCCGGGCUCAACCCGGGAACUGCGUCCGAUACUGGAAGGCUUGAAUCCGGGAGAGGGAUGCGGAAUUCCAGGUGUAGCGGUGAAAUGCGUAGAUAUCUGGAGGAACACCGGUGGCGAAGGCGGGUCUCUGGGCCGUAACUGACGCUGAGGAGCGAAAGCAUGGGGAGCGAACAGG